rnacentral:rRNA from 1 species
GGAGGGUGCGAGCGUUGUCCGGAAUCACUGGGCGUAAAGGGCGCGUAGGCGGCGCAGUAAGUAGGGGGUGAAAUCUCAUGGCUCAACCGUGAAACGGCCUCCUAAACUGCUGUGCUUGAGCACGGUAGAGGCAGAUGGAAUUCCCGGUGUAGCGGUGGAAUGCGUAGAUAUCGGGAAGAACACCAGUGGCGAAGGCGGUCUGCUGGGCCGUUGCUGACGCUGAGGCGCGACAGCGUGGGGGGAGCAAACAGGAUUAGAUACCCUGGUAGUCCACGCCGUAAACGAUGGGUACUAGGCGUCGGGGGGAGCGACCCCCCCCUUCGGUGCCGUCGCUAACGCAGUAAGUACCCCCGCCUGGGGAGUACGGCCGCAAGGCUG